rnacentral:rRNA from 1 species
GACGAACGCUGGCGGCGUGCUUAACACAUGCAAGUCGAACGGAAAGGCCCUGCUUUUGUGGGGUGCUCGAGUGGCGAACGGGUGAGUAACACGUGAGUAACCUGCCCUUGACUUUGGGAUAACUUCAGGAAACUGGGGCUAAUACCGGAUAGGAGCUCCUGCUGCAUGGUGGGGGUUGGAAAGUUUCGGCGGUUGGGGAUGGACUCGCGGCUUAUCAGCUUGUUGGUGGGGUAGUGGCUUACCAAGGCUUUGACGGGUAGCUGGCCUGAGAGGGUGACCGGCCACAUUGGGACUGAGAUACGGCCCAGACUCCUACGGGAGGCAGCAGUGGGGAAUAUUGCACAAUGGGCGGAAGCCUGAUGCGGCAACGCCGCGUGCGGGAUGACGGCCUUCGGGUUGUAAACCGCUUUCGCCUGUGACGAAGCGUGAGUGACGGUAAUGGGUAAAGAAGCACCGGCUAACUACAUG